GACGAACGCUGGCGGCGUGCUUAACACAUGCAAGUCGAACGGAAAGGCCCUGCUUGCAGGGUACUCGAGUGGCGAACGGGUGAGUAACACGUGGGUGAUCUGCCCUGCACUUCGGGAUAAGCCUGGGAAACUGGGUCUAAUACCGGAUAGGAGCCAUUUUUAGUGUGAUGGUUGGAAAGUUUUUUUCGGUGUAGGAUGAGCUCGCGGCCUAUCAGCUUGUUGGUGGGGUAAUGGCCUACCAAGGCGGCGACGGGUAGCCGGCCUGAGAGGGUGGACGGCCACAUUGGGACUUAGAUACGGCCCAGACUCCUACGGGAGGCAGCAGGGGGGAAUAUUGCACAAUGGGCGCAAGCCUGAUGCAGCGACGCCGCGUGGGGGAUGACGGCCUUCGGGUUGUAAACUCCUUUCGCUAGGGACGAAGCUUUUUGUGACGGUACCUAGAUAAGAAGCACCGGCUAACUACGUG
rnacentral:rRNA from 1 species